rnacentral:rRNA from 1 species
GUCCACGCCGUAAACGAUGAGUGCUAGACGUUGGGGAGCAUGCUCUUCAGUGUCGACGCUAACGCAUUAAGCACUCCGCCUGGGGAGUACGGCCGCAAGGUUAAAACUCAAAGGAAUUGACGGGGGCCCGCACAAGCGGUGGAGCAUGUGGUUUAAUUUCGAAGCAACGCGAAGAACCUUACCCAGCCCUUCGACAUGGGACGGUAUGGGGCGAGAGAGAUCGGCCUCUUCGAGUUAUGUCGGCGUCCACACAGGUGCUGCAUGGCUGUCGU